AGAAGCCUGUGUCUCGCUUGGUAGAGAGCUCAUGUUUGAUUCAAGAUAAUAGGUACUAAGCAAAACAAAGUGAACACAAAAGAGUAAGGGUUGUUGUAGGAAAUAGUGGCUCUGUUAGAAAAACAAAGGGUUGUCCACCCCUGUGCCUAUUCGUUGUGUGACGCGGCCUGAGCAUGUGCGAAGUCGCGCGCGGAAGCUGGCUGCGCGCGCAGCUGCGUUCCCGUGUUGGGCCGCGCAGGUUGGGGUUGGGUGUCGGUUUCUCAGUUGCUCAAAAAUCUAGCUGGCGUGGGUCUCGGCUCAUCCUGGGUGGCCUGGCAAAUUGGUUCCACGGGACUUUUUGCCAGUAUCAAAAAGACUUUUUUUGUACACCCCCGUUUCUCCACAUACAAGUAACACGCUUGAGUAAACGAGCAUUCCCUUCCUCACUUCCUACCAAAGGUGCCUGCGCUCUUGCUCCCCCGCCCAGCGGCUAUCAAUAGCCAUAAAAAUGGGGUCAUACCAAUAGUUCUGGGUCCAAACUCAAGAGCCAGGAGGUCGCCUCUGAGGGGGUCUGGGAAGUGACCAGGAAGAGGACUCAGACUACAGUGCCACCCAGGUCUCUCAAUGCACCAUAAACGUCUACCUUGAAUGGGGAGAGAACAAAUGGUAGAAUCAUGCCCCAGGCCUUAGCUCCAAAGAUUUCCAGAGUGUCACCUGGGCUGUAGACCUGAAACUCACUUCUUGGAUCCUGGUAUAUACUCCCACUAUUGGAAGACGCUAUUCUUGAGUUUUACCUGCUAGACUGUGAACUAUGAAAAUAUGUAUCUGUGACUUCAUUGUGUACAUAGAGGAGGAACUUUUGUACACUUGAUGAUCCGGCAAAAUCGGAUUCUCUUCACCCUGGGCUGUUUCAUGCCUUUUAGCCUUAUUCCAUUAUCUUUGCCUAACUCAUUCAUAGCCUUUUUUACAUAACAUCCUCCAAGAAGUCUUCACUAAUCCGUUUCCUUCAUUAAAGGUUUCCCUGUGGUACCUUA